ACACUCCUGCGGGAGGCAGCAGUGGGGAAUUUUGGACAAUGGGCGAAAGCCUGAUCCAGCAAUGCCGCGUGGGUGAAGAAGGCCUUCGGGUUGUAAAGCUCUUUUGUCAGGGAAGAAACGGUGAAAGCUAAUAUCUUUUGCUAAUGACGGUACCUGAAGAAUAAGCACCGGCUAACUACGUGCCAGCAGCCGCGGUAAUACGUAGGGUGCAAGCGUUAAUCGGAAUUACUGGGCGUAAAGCGUGCGCAGGCGGUUUUGUAAGUCUGAUGUGAAAUCCCCGGGCUCAACCUGGGAAUUGCAUUGGAGACUGCAAGGCUAGAAUCUGGCAGAGGGGGGUAGAAUUCCACGUGUAGCAGUGAAAUGCGUAGAUAUGUGGAGGAACACCGAUGGCGAAGGCAGCCCCCUGGGUCAAGAUUGACGCUCAUGCACGAAAGCGUGGGGAGCAAACAGGAUUAGAAACCCUUGUAGUCCCAUGA
rnacentral:rRNA from 1 species